rnacentral:rRNA from 1 species
UACGUAGGUGGCAAGCGUUGUCCGGAUUUACUGGGCGUAAAGAGCGCGCAGGCGGUCGUUCAAGUCGCGUGUGAAAGCCCCCGGCUCAACUGGGGAGGGUCACGCGAUACUGAUCGACUCGAAGGCAGGAGAGGGUAGUGGAAUUCCCGGUGUAGUGGUGAAAUGCGCAGAUAUCAGGAGGAACACCAAUGGCGAAGGCAGCUCGCUGGAACGGUACUGACGCUGAGGCGCGAAAGCGUGGGGAGCGAACAGG